rnacentral:rRNA from 1 species
AACGAACGCUGGCGGCAGGCUUAACACAUGCAAGUCGAACGCCCUCUUCGGAGGGAGUGGCAGACGGGUGAGUAACGCGUGGGAACCUACCUUUCAGUACGGAAUAACUCAGGGAAACUUGUGCUAAUACCGUAUACGUCCUUAGGGAGAAAGAUUUAUCGCUGAAAGAUGGGCCCGCGUUGGAUUAGCUAGUUGGUGGGGUAACGGCCCACCAAGGCGACGAUCCAUAGCUGGUCUGAGAGGAUGAUCAGCCACACUGGGACUGAGACACGGCCCAGACUCCUACGGGAGGCAGCAGUGGGGAAUAUUGGACAAUGGCGCAAGCCUGAUCCAGCCAUGCCGCGUGAGUGAAGAAGGCCUUAGGGUGUAAAGCUCUUUCAGUGGGAAGAUAAUGACGGUACCCACAGAAGAAGCCCCG